rnacentral:sRNA from 1 species
GGAUGCGAUCAUACCAACUCACUUCCACCGGAUCCCAUCAAAACUCUGAAGUUAAGCAUGUUUGGGAGAGAGAGUACUACUAGGAUGGGUGACCUUCUGGGAAGUCUUCAUGUUGCAUCCUCCCACCUUUUUUUUUAUUUUUCAUAAUUAUUUUUUGCGUAUAUUUAGCAGCUUAUUUGUGACGCGUGUCGUUUAUGACUGAGUCUCGUGCUUGGGAGAUAAAAGAAAAGAAUGAGAAAAGUAUUAAUUCCUAUUUUUUAAUUUCGUGUGAUUGUUUUGAUUAAUAUUUUUGAAUUUCGUGUGAUUGUUUAGGGGCAGGUGUGAUUUGCACAUGUAUAAGGUUACAUGGCCAUGGUUAAAAGAAAUGGUUAUAUACAUUUACAUUUACAAGUCGUAGACUAACAGAUGUGAUCAUACCAACUUAUAUGCAUCGGAUCCCAACAGAACUUCAAAGUUAAUUGAGUUUGGGCGAGAGUAGUACUAUGAUGGGUGACUUCCUAGGAAGUCCUUGUGUUGCAUUCC